rnacentral:misc_RNA from 1 species
GCGUCCAAUUGCCCAAACAUUGACAAAUACUUGACUAUCUUUUGGAAUUGUAUAAUUCAUAACUUCACAAGUCUCAAGAGCUCGAUGUGGAAGGAGGAAUGGAGCAGCUGGAUGUAAUCUCAUCGUUUCCUUUAAAAGUGCAUUUAAAUAUGGAAGUUGAGAAACUUCAGAUUCAUGUAUUGAGCCUUUGUUGAUUACCUUGUCUAGCUCUUCCCCAAGUUUUUCCAAGACUCGUUUGUUCUUGAGAAUCUCAGCCAUUGCCCACUCUACUGUUGUGGUAUUAGUUUCUACGCCCGCACUAAACAAUUCGACAAUCAACCAAUUGAUUAGAUCGUCAUCGAAGCCAUUGGAAAGAAAAACAUCCAAGAAAUCUGUUAUGGGAUCAUCAUUGACAUGCUUUUCUCUUCUUUCUUUGAUGUAAAUUUCCCAUACACCAAUCAUUUCCUCAACGCACUCUGACAUCUUUCUUCUUAGACCCUGAGGAUCCAACCCUGCUAAGAUGGGAUAAAAAUCAGCCAUAUUUGGAGCAGC